rnacentral:rRNA from 1 species
CCUACGGGAGGCAGCAGUAGGGAAUCUUCCACAAUGAACGAAAGUCUGAUGGAGCAACGCCGCGUGAACGAUGAAGGCCUUCGGGUCGUAAAGUUCUGUUGUAAGGGAAGAACAAGUGCCGCAGGCAAUGGCGGCACCUUGACGGUACCUUGCGAGAAAGCCACGGCUAACUACGUGCCAGCAGCCGCGGUAAUACGUAGGUGGCAAGCGUUGUCCGGAAUUAUUGGGCGUAAAGCGCGCGCAGGCGGCCUCUUAAGUCUGAUGUGAAAGCCCCCGGCUCAACCGGGGAGGGCCAUUGGAAACUGGGGGACUUGAGUGCAGAAGAGGAAAGUGGAAUUCCACGUGUAGCGGUGAAAUGCGUAGAGAUGUGGAGGAACACCAGUGGCGAAGGCGACUCUUUGGCCUAUAACUGACGCUGAGGCGCGAAAGCGUGGGGAGCAAACAGGAUUAGAUACCCUGGUAGUCCACGCCGUAAACGAUGAGUGCUAGGUGUUGGAGGGUUUCCGCCCUUCAGUGCUGAAGCUAACGCAUUAAGCACUCCGCCUGGGGAGUACGGUCGCAAGGCUGAAACUCAAAUGAAUUGACGGGG